GACGGUUGAUUGGAGGAUCUACGGCGGUCUUCUUCGCGAUCGACGGCGGUGAUCGAUGGUCGAUUGAAGGAUCAAUGGUGGUCCAUUGGGGAUCUUCGGCGGGCUCGACCACUAAUAAGUCAUAAGAAUCGAUCAGAUAUUAUUGGUGUCAAUUUCUUUGAUAUGUUAUAUAGUCUAAACAAGGUGCAGUGCCUAUUCCGAGUUCGUUUAGGCAUUUUCUCCUGGCAGGAGUAGUGAUGGCCCUUUCAGGCGAUGAUGAAGUGAUUGUGUGAAGGAAAACACCUGGAUAAUUAUUGUUUUUAUGUGGAUAUACAGUGUGAUGUAAUUAUGUCGUUUUUUGUGGUAUUAAUGUCUGAAAAUAAAUGUAUUUCGUAUGCGAUGAUGUGGAAGAUAGCUAGGGAAUAUUGGAUAUGGUGAUUUUGGCGUGAACAACAACUUAGAUGGUGUGUUGCGACGUUGAUUCAGACAAUGUUUCUCUUUUUUGAGUUGAUCCAUUCAUUGAACAAUUUGAGUCAUUUUAUUUUAUUUUUAGACAUUCUCAGCCAUCUAGUCAUUCAGCUUUCAGACAUUUCUACCUCUAAUAUAUUAAAGCAUCAGUUUCAACGGU